rnacentral:rRNA from 1 species
GACGAACCGUGCGAACGUUGUUCGGAAUCACUGGGCUUAAAGGGCGCGUAGGCGGGUGACCAAGUCAGGGGUGAAAUCUUUCGGCCCAACCGGAAAAGUGCCUCUGAUACUGGUCGUCUUGAGGGAGGUAGGGGUCGAGGGAACUGGUGGUGGAGCGGUGAAAUGCGUAGAUAUCAUCUGGAAUACCGGAGGCGAAGGCGGCUCACUGGGAGUUUUCUGACGCUGAGGAACGAAAGCCAGGGUAGCGAACGGG